AUCCGGGUUGCGGACAGUGUCUGGUGGGUAGUUUGACUGGGGCGGUCUCCUCCUAAAGAGUAACGGAGGAGCACGAAGGUUAGCUAAUCCUGGUCGGACAUCAGGAGGUUAGUGCAAAGGCAUAAGCUAGCUUGACUGCGAGAGUGACGGCUCGAGCAGGUGCGAAAGCAGGUCUUAGUGAUCCGGUGGUUCUGAAUGGAAGGGCCAUCGCUCAACGGAUAAAAGGUACUCCGGGGAUAACAGGCUGAUACCGCCCAAGAGUUCAUAUCGACGGCGGUGUUUGGCACCUCGAUGUCGGCUCA
rnacentral:rRNA from 1 species